rnacentral:rRNA from 1 species
GGCGAACGCUGGCGGCGGGCUUAACACAUGCAAGUCGAACGGAAACGCCCCUAUGGGGUUCCUCUAGUGGCGGACGGGUGAGUAACGCGUGGGUAACCAUCCCUUUCCUUCUGUACGAGGUGGGGAAAGUAGGGCUACUACCGCAUAGACAGCAUAGCUGCAUCGGGGGAGUGGGAAAGCUUUUGGGGCUUUGGAUGGAUUGGCGGCGUAUAAGCGGGUUGGCGGGUUAGUGGCUUACCAGGGCACUGACGGGUAGACCGCCUGAGAGGGUGAACGGCGAUACUGGGACUGAGAUACGGCACAGACUCCGACGGGAGGCAGAAGUGGGGAAGAUUGCACCAUGCGCGGAGGCCUGAUGAAGCAAGGCCGCGUGCGGUAUGACGGCUUUGUGGUUAAAAACAGCCUUCAGCAGGGGCGAAGCUUGUGGUGACGGUACCUGAAGAAGAAGCACCGGCUAACUACGUG